rnacentral:tRNA from 1 species
GCCUGGGUGGCUCAGUCGGUUGAGCGUCUGACUUCGGCUCAGGUCACGAUCUCGCGGUCCGUGAGUUCGAACCCCGCGUCGGGCU